AUUGAACGCUGGCGCCCGGCCUAACACAUGCAAGUCGAACGAGUGGCGGACGGGUGAGUAAUGUCUGGGAAACUGCCCGAUGGAGGGGGAUAACUACUGGCAACGGUAGCUAAUACCGCAUACCAUCGGGUUUGCCACGAUGGGCUUAGCUAGUAGGUGGGGUAAAGGCUCACCUAGGCGACGAUCCCUACCUGGUCUGAGAGGAUGACAAGCCACACUGGAACUGAGACACGGUCCAGACUCCUACGGGAGGCAGCAGUGGGGAAUAGUGCACAAGGGGCGCAAGCCUGAUGCAGCCAGGCGGCGUGUAUGAAGAAGGCCUUCGGGUUGUAAAGUACUUUCAGCGGGGAGGCGUUACCCGCAGAAGAAGCACCGGCUAACGCCGUGCCAGCCGCCGCGGUAAUUC
rnacentral:rRNA from 1 species